CUCAGUUCGGAUUGAAGGCUGAAAUUCGCCUUCCAUGAAGCCGGAAUUGCUAGUAAUGGCAGGUCAGCAUACUGCCGUGAAUACGUUCCCGGGCCUUGUACACACCGCCCGUCACACCAUGAGAGUUGGGAAUACCCGAAGCCUGUGAGCUAACUUUUAGAGGCAGCAGUCGAAGGUAGAAUCAAUGAUCGGGGUGAAGUCGUAACAAGGUACC
rnacentral:rRNA from 1 species